AGUCGAACGGAAUCGUAUCUGUAGCAAUACAGGUGCGGUUUAGUGGCGAACGGGUGCGUAACACGUGGGCGAUCUGCCGAAAAGUGGGGGAUAGCUCGCCGAAAGGCGAAUUAAUACCGCAUGUGGUUAAGGGGGACAUCCCUCUGACACUAAAGCCGGGGUAACCUGGCGCUUUUUGAUGAGCCCGCGGCCUAUCAGCUUGUUGGUGAGGUAACGGCUCACCAAGGCUAUGACGGGUAGCUGGUCUGAGAGGACGACCAGCCACACUGGAACUGAGACACGGUCCAGACACCUACGGGUGGCAGCAGUCGAGAAUUUUUCUCAAUGGGGGAAACCCUGAAGGAGCGACGCCGCGUGGAGGAUGAAGGUUUUCGGAUUGUAAACUCCUGUCAUUGGGGAACAAUUGCGCGGGUUUAACUGACCUGCGCUUGAUAGUACCCGAAGAGGAAGAGACGGCUAACUCUGUGCCAGCAGCCGCGGUAAUACAGAGGUCUCAAGCGUUGUUCGGAUUCAUUGGGCGUAAAGGGUGCGUAGGCGGUAAUGUAAGUUGGAUGUGAAAUCCCGGGGCUUAACCCCGGAACUGCAUUCAAUACUGCAAUACUAGAGUACUGGAGAGGAGAUUGGAAUUCACGGUGUAGCAGUGAAAUGCGUAGAUAUCGUGAGGAAGACCAGUGGCGAAGGCGAAUCUCUGGACAGUUACUGACGCUGAGGCACGAAGGCUAGGGGAGCAAACGGGAUUAGAUACCCCGGUAGUCCUAGCAGUAAACGGUGUACGUUUGGUAUGGGAGGAUUCGACCCCUUCCGUGCCGGAGCUAACGCGUUAAACGUACCGCCUG
rnacentral:rRNA from 1 species